rnacentral:rRNA from 1 species
UACGGGGGGGGGGGCAAGCGUUGUUCGGAAUUACUGGGCGUAAAGGGCGCGUAGGCGGCUUCUUGCGCUCCCACGAUGAAAGCCCCUGGCUCAACCAGGGAGGGUCGUGGGAAACGGGGGAGCUGGAGGCAGCGAGAGGCUGGUGGAAUUCCCGGAGUAGUGGUGAAAUGCGUAGAUAUCUGGAGGAACACCGGUGGCGAAGGCGGCAUCCUGGACCGGCAUUGACGCUGAGGCGCGAAGGCCAGGGGAGCAAACGGGG